CUUUGGUUUGUAGCAAGACCAUUUUGCAUUAGUGUUAUUCAAGAAAUCACUGAUCAAUUACUAAGAUGCAUCUUCAUAAGAAAUAAAUUCUUGACAUGCAUAGAAGUAUAUGGAUGGUUGAAAGUAACUUGGAAAUUGGAGUAACUGAAAUAAUUUAAUCUAAUCCAGUCAUUUCACAGGUGGGAUAGCAGAGGCCUAAGUUACUUGUGGGAUUGGAUCAAAGAAAGCCAGCAUUCUUUGACCAGUAUUAACAUCUGUGUGUCCUGAUAUCUACUCAAAGUCAAACUAUGACAUGAUAAUAUCUGUACACCAAUCACACAGAAAUGAACUAGAGGUGAUAUAGUUUAGAUGUCCCUUCCAAAUCUCAUGUUGAAAUGUAACACCCAGUGUUGGAGGUGGGGUCUAGUGGGAAGCGGAUCCCUCAUGGCUUGGUGUUCUCCUUGUAAUAGUGAGUACUUGCAAGAUCUGGUUAAGUCUGUGGCACCUCUCCCCACCUCACCCUCUCUUGCUCCCACUCUGCCAUGAGAGAUGUCUGCUCCCACUUCGCUUUCUGCCAUGAGUAAAAGCUCCUUGAGGCCUCCCCAGAAGCCAAACAGAUGCCAGUGCCUUGCUUCCUGUACAGCCUGCAGAACUUAUUUCAAUAGAAAGGCGCUUGAACAUGCAGAACGUGCUCACAGUGCUGGAGCUCUUGCCCUGCUGUUUGUAUGGACUCCAUAAAAAGGGCACUGCUACUGCAAGUACAGGUGUAAGUAUCCAGCAUACGUGAAGAAAGAGGUGCAGGGCAGCCCUUGAACUCUACCCUGCUGGAGUCUCACCUGUCCUCCCUAUCUCCUCAUCUGCCACACUCAAUCAAGACUUGGACCUCCUAGCAAGCUCCUCGGGCCCCUGGAACAAGAAGUCUCUAGCAUCUCUGCAGAUUUCUUGCCCACAGUGGGUAGCAGCGUGCCCUGAAGCAGACUGCUGAGACAGACAGUGAGGAAACUUUCCUGGCAGCACUCAGUGUGUGGCAGACAAGCUUGUGGUAUUUGCCACCUGCAGGGACUAUGGGACAUGCUGUCAGAAUCCCCUCAAACUGCUUUCAAGGAAUCCUGGACUGAUGAUCAGCUCAGGACCUCAGUUAUCCCAGGCCUCAUGGGCCAGGGGUUUAUUAGAUCACAACAUACCUAUAACCACUGCAUGGCACAAAAACCAGGAAGCCCAGAGAACACAAAUGUCUGGCCCACGUCUGUGAGUGACAGCCCAGGAUUAGAAGGGACACUGGAUUUUGUGGAUGCUCCUUGGACACACUGGAAUGCACCUUGGGUAGCCCGUGGAUCAUUUUCCCCAGUAUGAAGCAUGGGAGGAGCUGGAAAAUGAACUCAUGAGCCAGUUGAGCCAGCACAACAAGCUGGAGCCAGGAGUCUGGCUGGGCUAGCUUUUAUCUUGUGCUCCCUGGAACCCUGACUGGAUGAUUUCUGAAGUCGAGCUGGAGCCCAUCUAGAGGGAAGGUGAAAUUUCUCCUCAGCAUGCAGGGCCUCCUGCACCCACACUGCCACAGCCACCGCAUUACCAGCUCCUGCCAGUCUGAGGAGCAAGAGGCUGGCGUGAAGAAUCAGUUCCAUUCUUUCCUCCCUAAAUUUAGAAAAAGCCUGUUUUGCAAAGCUUUCUUCAGUGUUUCAAGACAAAAAAAAAGAAAAAAUUAAGCAGUUGCACAACAUGCAUAUCUUCUCCUGGCCUGCAGCUCCAGGAUACGCAGCUGGGAGCGAGUGUCCAGCCAACGGCCCGUGUCUCAGGCCCUGCCAGGGGAUGAAUCAAUUAGCAAGAGAAGCAAUGAUGCAAAUGCUCCGGCGUCACUUGGGAUGCUGUUUGCCUUUUUGAUAGAGAAAGCACACCAUAAAUAACAUCACACCUCAGGAAAUCAUUCCAGGAGGCCCCGAUGCCAGCAGGGCUGCUGCCGGGGACGGAAGGAAUCGUUUGCUCAUUGUGUGUAUUUCCCCCAGCUCAGUCAAUGGGAGAUUUGUAGUAAAAUCAAAGUAUUUAAAAGGAGGACAGUAUGUGGUAACAGAGGCAUGUUUAGUAAUUUUUUUAGUACCAGAACCUGUGAUUUAUGACCCAGAGUUACAGCCAACUUUAUUACAAAAAUGACUUCACCCAUAAUAACCUUAUUCAGGGCCCUCUGGUGAAUGAUGUAGUAUCCAACAGCAUUAUAAUCUAGCAAAUAUUCAAACACAAUUCCCGCCUCCGCCUCAUUUCCAACCAACCCCUCAGAAGCAGGCUUCCCCCUUUACCUGCUGGGAGAAGUGGGGUCCUGGGUAAGGCUUUGUGCUCUGUCUGUGGGAGUUUGCCUGGAUCAGGCAUUUAUACUAAGCCAGGACAGAAAGCGACCUCCUGGGGUCUCAGUCAUAUCUUGUCCAACCUCAUCCCCUGAGGAGUAAUGAGCAGAAGACACCCACUCACCCUUCAUUUCCUCUCUGUGCUGAAACUUAUUUCCUCCCUGCAUUCCCCCACUCCUCCAGAGCUCAGAUCCCCACCACCUGAAAGGAGCUCCAGUAAGCUCCCUGACAUUUUUAAUUGCCAUGGUAACUGAGGGCUGCACUAAAACCGCCAGGGCUGGGUGUCCAAGCAGGGUCCCCUGGGCGUACCGGGAUCUAGAAACUAGCCCUCCAUCUUACUAAACUCCGGUGUCAGUUCCUAGCAAUUGUUUUAAAUUUACACCCUCAGAGUGGCUUAGUGGGAUUACAUGUCCAUUUGCAUUAAAACAGGUUUCUGUCAUUAAACUGCCAUAAAAUAAGCUUCCCUGGGACAAAUUAAUGAGCUCUAAAUAUCAUCAAGUAGAAGUUCACUUCAAGACAGGCAACAAGGAGGGGGGUUGGAAGGAAGUGGCUGCUCAGAAUCUCAUGGCCCAGGAGACCGAUAAGUGCCAACUAAAGAAGGGUCUUGUCCUGUUUCUUCACUGCACGAUAAGUGGUCCUGAUUUAGAGCUGACUGGGGAGAUUUGGCAAUAUUCUCCCUGUUCGCCAAAAUCCUAUAGCUCAUCUUCUAUGCCCUCUUCCAAAUAUGACUUUUUACCCUUGACUUUGCUGAAAUUUGCUGAUGAAACACUGGCCUCUUGUCUCAGUGACAAUGUCUCAGCCUCAUUUUCUUUGUCCUGUUGUUUCUCUGUCCUUGAGGAACUUGCGUGCAUCCACGUGGCCUGGGAACAACACGCACACAACGCAGCACCAUGUGUAGCUUGAACAAGUGCUCCCUAACUUUGUUAGUUCCCACACACUUUGCUAAAAUGCAUGUAUGAUUGCUACUGAACUGUCUGGUCCUCAGACCUUAUCAGGACCCUGGAACACGAGUCCUGAUCAGGAGCACCUUUCAUGGUCAUCAGGAGCAGAAUAGGAACAGGGAACAGUUUAGCUUCUAAGACUGAAUUUGUCCUGCUCACAAGAAUCACCAGAGCUUGUCCUCACAAAUACAUAUGUGUGUCUAAGCAGAAAUUUUUCAUUAACACCAAAUAAACCCCAAACCUUCCCUUAUGUAAAGGAAAUAAGACUGGCUGCUAGACAGACUUCUUGAUCCACAGAGGCUGUGAUCUCAUUUCUGUGUAGCCUUAACAGGGGACAGUAAUGUAUGAUUGAGACACUGCUAUAUUUAGGAAUGACAAGAUGAGCAUUAUUAAUAGCUUAAUUGACAUUAAGGCAAUUACCCCUACCCUUAUUACAGUUUGUAGAAUUACACAGAAAAUAUUGGCUGGGGCCUUUUUUUCCCUAGAGCUACCCAAGGAUACAGCAUUUUAUUUCAUGCCAGAUCCCAGCUUUGACAUUAGAUACUUAGCCAUAGAACGAUUCCAGUAAAUCAUUAUAAAUGCAUUAUAAUAAAGAUGUUAUGAGCUAUCAGAUAUUAACCCCCAACCCCUAAAGAGAGAUAAAUAGUCCAGUUGCAUGAUUCCCACUUUUGUUUCAUAAGAAAUAAGCUUUUGCAAAGAGCAACUGACUAAUGAAUUAUAAAAUGGUGUGUUGAGCUCAGAUAAUUAAACAAUGCAUUUUAGUGUCUAGUGCAGGAUGAACACUAAAUCAUACACAAAUAAAAAGGUAAAAAUCUGAGCCCCACGCCUAACUCCUAUUUUUGAAAAACAUUAAUGUUGGUCUACAGUCCAAAAAUGCUUCAACUAUUUUCUUAUCUGAUUAGAGAGGCAUAUCAAGUAUAAGAUCAAGGCACAGUAGGCAAACUAAACCAACAGUCAGAACAAAAACUGUGAAGGUGCUAAUUUCAGAUAAGCCCACAAGGUUAUUUUAAUGGAGAUUUUACAUGGAGAUUGCUUUUUCCCCCAAAGUGUUAAUGGGACAAAAGUCUAGAAGGACCUGGAAGUUUUCAGGUUUCCUUAUACUUUAUAUUUUCUCUGAACUCAUAAUAAAGCAUAUUAGUGGGAACGGGA